AUUGAACGCUGGCGGCAUGCCUUACACAUGCAAGUCGAACGGCAGCACGGGUGCUUGCACCUGGUGGCGAGUGGCGAACGGGUGAGUAAUACAUCGGAACAUGUCCUGUAGUGGGGGAUAGCCCGGCGAAAGCCGGAUUAAUACCGCAUACGAUCUUCGGAUGAAAGCGGGGGACCUUCGGGCCUCGCGCUUUAGGGUUGGCCGAUGGCUGAUUAGCUAGUUGGUGGGGUAAAGGCCUACCAAGGCGACGAUCAGUAGCUGGUCUGAGAGGACGACCAGCCACACUGGGACUGAGACACGGCCCAGACUCCUACGGGAGGCAGCAGUGGGGAAUUUUGGGCAAUGGGCGAAAGCCUGAUCCAGCAAUGCCGCGUGUGUGAAGAAGGCCUUCGGGUUGUAAAGCACUUUUGUCCGGAAAGAAAUCCUUGGCCCUAAUACGGUCGGGGGAUGACGGUACCGGAAGAAUAAGCACCGGCUAACUACGUG
rnacentral:rRNA from 1 species